CCAAUAGCGUAUAUUAAAGUUGUUGCAGUUAAAAAGCUCGUAGUUGAACUUCGGGGUUUACCCAUUGGUCAGGCUUAAUUGUCUGCACUGGUGAGAUGAAUCUCUACCUUCUGAGGAACUUUCAUGCCAUUUAUUUGGUGUGAUGGGAAAUCAGGACUGUUACUUUGAAAAAAUUAGAGUGUUUAAAGCAGGCUAACGUCUGAAUACAUUAGCAUGGAAUAAUGAAAUAGGACGGACUGAUUCUAUUUCGUUGGUUUCUAGGAUCACCGUAAUGAUUAAUAGGGAUAGUUGGGGGCAUUAGUAUUCAAUUGUCAGAGGUGAAAUUCUUGGAUUUAUUGAAGACUAACUACUGCGAAAGCAUUUGCCAAGGAUGUUUUCAUUAAUCAAGAACGAAAGUUAGGGGAUCGAAGACGAUCAGAUACCGUCGUAGUCUUAACCAUAAACUAUGCCGACUAGGGAUCGGAUGAUGUUAAUUUUUUAAUGACUCAUUCGGCGCCUUAC
rnacentral:rRNA from 1 species